GUGAACUGACAAUUAUUAUUAUUUACAAUCGAUUUCUGUGUAGACCAGGUGUUUGAUUUCAGUGAUCCUAAAAACUGAUAUGAUCACAUGAAGGCUUUCCUUACUUUUUAUUUUAUUUAGGUCCUUUUUCAGAAUGAAAGGUCAAAUAUUAAAAGAUAAUAAAAAAAAUUGGGCCACCAAAGUCACACAAUACGCUCAGGUCAGAGAAGUGCCCUAAGACUAUCACAGCUAAACAUACCAUAGAUAUUUCUGAUAGGUUUUCAAGAUGUCGCUUUUCUAUAUUGUCUCAGGUCUGGGUGUUUGUGCUACCUUCGUUGUUUCCGAUUUCCUUAACAAAAGUGCUUUAGCUACUUACUUGUGAUGUUAUCCACAUUAAUUUGUUUGUUUUUUCUAUAAUCGUAAUCUCAACCUUACAGCACUUGUCCCAGAAUAACGCCAUCUAUUGUCAAUUUCUCUUAUUAUAUCAUUACUCGAAAGCAUAAAUCUUAUAGGGACCGUGCGCGUUGGAGGGUCUACCAUCUUGUGGCCUGAAUCGGAACCAUAAACAUGUACAUUUACACGUCACGUGUUUUCUUGUGCAUAGUAGGUUCUGCCAUCUUGUGGGCUACAUCGGAACAAAAAACAUCACAUUUACGCUACGCGCCAAAAAU